rnacentral:rRNA from 1 species
GACGAACGCUGGCGGCGUGCUUAACACAUGCAAGUCGAACGGAAAGGCCUCUUUCGGGGGGUACUCGAGUGGCGAACGGGUGAGUAACACGUGAGUAACCUGCCCUUGACUUUGGGAUAACUUCAGGAAACUGGGGCUAAUACCGGAUAGGAGCUCCUGCUGCAUGGUGGGGGUUAGAAAGUUUCGGCGGUUGGGGAUGGACUCGCGGCUUAUCAGCUUGUUGGUGGGGUAGUGGCUUACCAAGGCUUUGACGGGUAGCCGGCCUGAGAGGGUGACCGGCCACAUUGGGACUGAGAUGCGGCCCAGACUCCGACGGGAGGCAGCAGUGGGGAAUAUUGCACAAGGGGUGGAAGCCGGAUGCAGCAACGCCGUGUGCGGGAUGACGGCCUUCGGGUUGAAAACCGCUUUCGCUCAUGACGAAGCUUUGUGUGACGGUAGUGGGUAAAGAAGCACCGGCUAACUACGUG